UAGCAUAUGCUUGUCUCAAAGAUUAAGCCAUGCAUGUCUAAGUAUAAACAACUUUAUACUGUGAAACUGCGUACAGCUCAUUAAAUCAGUUAUUAUUUAUUUGAUGGUAUUUAACUACAUGGAUAACCGUAGUAAUUCUAGAGCUAAUACAUGCGAAAAGUCCCAACGCAAGGCGGGAUGUAUUUAUUAGAUAUAAAACCAAUGGGGGCAACCUCUUUUUGGUGAUUCAUAGUAACUGUUCGAAUCGCACGGCGAAAGCAGGCGAUAGUUCAUUCAAA
rnacentral:rRNA from 1 species